UGGUGUUAGAUUAAUAUAUAUAUUGAUCCUAUGUUCCUGAUAACAAAAGAACAACAAGAUCAAUAAAACAAAAUGCGGAAAUAGAAUUAGAGAUUUUACCUCCAGCCAUUGUUGCAGUGUUGUGAGUGCAUUGCCUUUGAUUCUUCCAAGCUCUUGCUCUCUCAAUAUAGAUGGUGUAUUUAUUUUUUGAUGAGAGAAAUCUUUGGGGGCCAAAGACUAUUUAUAAGCUUGAUUCUACCAUCAAGAAUUUAAAGCCAUUAAAACACAUUACCACCAAAUUAAAUGGUC
rnacentral:lncRNA from 1 species